CGUUGCUGUGGGAGCUUGCCUGGUGCACAGAUUCAUCCACCACGGCUGCCAUCCAGAUGGCCAGGUUGGUGGUGAGCGUGAACAUCAGUCCACAUCUGUUUGGAGGUUGAGGGAGGCAAAGAGGCCCGUGAGUCUUUGGUUCAUCUUGGGUCCCUAGCGAGGUAGGAGACCGGAAAGCUCUCCUGAGAGAUGAUAUUGAGAAGGGAAAGGUCAGCCAGGCCCUUGUGAAAAGUGGGGCUGAGUUUGGAAGGCCAGGAUGCCACCCAAGAGAGGACCGGGGGUUUCCAGAGGCACAGGCCCUGCUGUCCCCACCCCCACAACACGUGAAAGGGGGCGGGCACAGUGUAGUGGAAUUAGGCGGACAAAUUGGGGACCUUGGCUGAAACCCCACCCAGGAGGCAGAGGGAGGAGCCAUGCUCAGGCCAGACAGCCCUCAGGUCUCCUGCCAGGCGACAGGCGGGGCACAGACACUGAGCUGCAGUUCUCACCGGGUCAGAUCCAGGUGGACGUGAAUACAGUCUUUAGCGGAGACCCAGAGAAAGCUCCCUAAGCAAGAGGAGGGGCCCUAGACAGACCCUUUUCAGUUGCUGCUGUCCUCUGUGCCCCCUCUCCAUCAAAGGCACCUCGGAGCCAGAUGGGUCCCGCGUGCGCGUCCAGGUAGGGCACCGCGCCAGGGCAGCGCGCGCUGCGCAGGAGGUAGAAGAGGAUCCAGAUCGCGGCCAGCAGCAUCAUCGCGAUUUGGGGACCAGGGAGUUCCUAAUCCCGGUGCUGGAGGAAAGCGCAGGGGGAGAAGAAGAGAAAAACCAGAACCCGCAUCUGUGAGGCUCAGCUCAGAAGGAAAGAAGUGGCGGCACCCGUCGGACCCACUUCCAAAAUCCCAUCGUCCACCUGCCCCGGCACGCACCUGGCUGGCCUGGUAGCUCGCGCAGAGUUGGGGUUCAGGGGGCGGUGAGCGUCUCCUCUCUCCCACGCCAGGCUGGACGGGAGCUUUAUAUCCGAGAGCGCUGAGUGAUUUACUGCCGCGGGAGCUCGGCUCCAUAAACCUCUCAGUCCCACUCACAUGAUCCAUCUUUUCUCUGGGCUGAAUUUGGGGAAGUGCGCGCGGGAGUCAGAUAAAGCGAGAUGUAUAUUUAUCUGUUAAGAACAACCCGCCUCCCUCCGUCCCUGUCACCCCUGUGGGGCCGGGUUCGGACGGGCGCGGUCCCGCAGUGCGGCAGCUAGAGGGCACCCCCCACCGCUCCCGCCCGGAGCCCCCACACCUGACGCUCGCGAGCCGCGGGCACCCACAUGUCCUCCCAGCCCCGGCGCAGGCUGCGCUUGUGAGCCCGGUUGCUACCCUGAGGUCGUGACACUAGCCUUCCGUUCCCCACCUGUCCUCAGAACGCUCGAGUUUCUUCUUCUUCUGUCCCUACUGCGCCCCCCUCUGCUGCUCCGCUAGGUGCUUCGAAGUCUGGGGCGUGGGAAAGAAGUUCCCACGCGGUGCGCCCAGCCCUCCUCCAGUCCUCUAGCGCCCCCUGCUGGAGCGCGUCAAGACCCCGUACCAGGACCGCUGCUUCCUACUCAAGGACAGUUUCUGGGUCUCGCUGUGCAGUUCAGGCUGGCCUUGA